GAAAUGCGAUAAUUAAUGUGAAUUGCAGAAUUCAGUGAAUCAUCGAGUCUUUGAACGCACAUUGCGCCCCCUGGUAUUCCGGGGGGCAUGCCUGUCCGAGCGUCAUUGCUGCCCUCAAGCACGGCUUGUGUGUUGGGCUUCCGUCCCUGGCAACGGGGACGGGCCCAAAAGGCAGUGGCGGCACCAUGUCUGGUCCUCGAGCGUAUGGGGCUUUGUCACCCGCUCCCGUAGGUCCAGCUGGCAGCUAGCCUCGCAACCAAUCUUUUUAACCAUGUUGACCUCGGAUCAGGUAGGGAUACCCGCUGAACUUAAGC
rnacentral:misc_RNA from 1 species